CAAACUUGGUCAUUUAGAGGAAGUAAAAGUCGUAACAAGGUCUCCGUAGGUGAACCUGCGGAGGGAUCAUUACAAGUUGACCCCGGCCCUCGGGCCGGGAUGUUCACAACCCUUUGUUGUCCGACUCUGUUGCCUCCGGGGCGACCCUGCCUCCGGGCGGGGGCCCCGGGUGGACAUUUCAAACUCUUGCGUAACUUUGCAGUCUGAGUAAAUUUAAUUAAUAAAUUAAAACUUUCAACAACGGAUCUCUUGGUUCUGGCAUCGAUGAAGAACGCAGCGAAAUGCGAUAAGUAAUGUGAAUUGCAGAAUUCAGUGAAUCAUCGAAUCUUUGAACGCACAUUGCGCCCCCUGGUAUUCCGGGGGGCAUGCCUGUUCGAGCGUCAUUUCACCACUCAAGCCUCGCUUGGUAUUGGGCGACGCGGUCCGCCGCGCGCCUCAAAUCGACCGGCUGGGUCUUUCGUCCCCUCAGCGUUGUGGAAACUAUUCGCUAAAGGGUGCCGCGGGAGGCCACGCCGUAAAACAACCCCAUUUCUAAGGUUGACCUCGGAUCAGGUAGGGAUACCCGCUGAACUUAAGCAUAUCAAUAAGCGGAGGA
rnacentral:rRNA from 1 species